rnacentral:rRNA from 1 species
GAUGAACGCUGGCGGCGUGCCUAAUACAUGCAAGUCGAGCGAACAGACGAGGAGCUUGCUCCUCUGACGUUAGCGGCGGACGGGUGAGUAACACGUGGAUAACCUACCUAUAAGACUGGGAUAACUUCGGGAAACCGGGGCUAAUACCGGAUAAUAUAUUGAACCGCAUGGUUCAAUAGUGAAAGACGGUUUUGCUGUCACUUAUAGAUGGAUCCGCGCCGCAUUAGCUAGUUGGUAAGGUAACGGCUUACCAAGGCAACGAUGCGUAGCCGACCUGAGAGGGUGAUCGGCCACACUGGAACUGAGACACGGUCCAGACUCCUACGGGAGGCAGCAGUAGGGAAUCUUCCGGAAAGGGCGAAAGCCUGACGGAGCAACGCCGCGUGAGUGAUGAAGGUCUUCGGAUCGUAAAACUCUGUUAUUAGGGAAGAACAAAUGUGUAAGUAACUAUGCACGUCUUGACGGUACCUAAUCAGAAAGCCACGGCUAACUACGUG